rnacentral:rRNA from 1 species
CAGCCGCCACGGUAAAACGGAGGGGGCUAGCGUUGUUCGGAAUUACUGGGCGUAAAGCGCACGUAGGCGGCUUGGUAAGUUAGAGGUGAAAGCCUGGAGCUCAACUCCAGAAUUGCCUUUAAGACUGCCGAGCUAGCAGGUGAGAGAGGUAAGUGGAAUUCCGAGUGUAGAGGUGAAAUUCGUAGAUAUUCGGAAGAACACCAGUGGCGAAGGCGGCUUACUGGCUCAUACUGGACGCUGAGGUGCGAAAGCGUGGGGAGCAAACAGGAUUAGAUACCCGCGUAGUCCCUGUCUCUUAUAC